rnacentral:rRNA from 1 species
GUCCACGCCCUAAACGAUGUCAACUGGGUGUUGGGGAAGCGAUUCCUCAGUACCGUAGCUAACGCGUGAAGUUGACCGCCUUGGGAGUACGGCCGCAAGGUUAAAACUCAAAGGAAUUGACGGGGACCCGCACAAGCGGUGGAUGAUGUGGAUUAAUUCGAUGCAACGCGAACAACCUUACCUACCCUUGACAUGUCCUGAACCCCACUGAGAGGUGGGGGUGCCCGAAAGGGAAUCGGAACACAGGUGCUGCAUGGCUGUCGU